rnacentral:rRNA from 1 species
GACGAACCGUCCAAACGUUAUUCGGAAUUACUGGGCUUAAAGGGCGCGUAGGCGGCUUUACAAGUCAGGGGUGAAAUCCCACGGCUCAACCGUGGAAUUGCCUUUGAAACUGUAAAGCUAGAGUGUCGGAGGGGAUAGCGGAAUUGCUAAUGUAGAGGUGAAAUUCGUAGAUAUUAGCAGGAACACCGGUGGCGAAGGCGGCUAUCUGGACGACAACUGACGCUGAGGCGCGAAAGCAUGGGGAUCAAACAGG